CAGCAACAAUGGGGUUAGGUGGACCAACCAGCUGAGGCCCUAAUGCACAGAAAAUCUCAAAGUAAAGCUAUGUACAUCGACAUGAUUAUAUAUCAUAAACAACAGGGGUGUUCGAAGAACCGAAUUAGCCAGAUCAUGAUUAGCAAGAUGAUGUCAUCUUGGAUGUGCCACUUGAUCUCGGAUGUAAUAGGCCUAAGCGAGACACAGAACUGACCCGGAUCUUAGAUAUGGACUUCCACAGGAAGGAGGGGGUUGUAUAUAAGACUCUCCUCCAGUGGGUCAGUCUUUCAGCAGCCAGGAUGCAGACCACACGUCUCUCCGGUACUACUUUACUCUUCUCUCUUGCAGUCUCUCUUGCAGCCUCUCUGAGGAUCAGUCCCAGCAGAUGUCAAUUCUUCGAGUUGGACUCCGUCUCCCUGAGCUGUGAGGAUCAGGGGAGCUCUGCUGGAGGGAGGGUGUGGAGGAACACCACAGAAGGAAGGUCUUCAGAGUGUGGAGCAGACUGGGGGAAGCUGAGAGGCUCCUCCUGCAACAUCAGUACUUUGUACCCAUCAGACAGUGGAGUGUACUGGUGUGAGUCUGGCUCAGGAGAACACAGACAUGCUGUCAACAUCACAGUACAUGAUGGAGCUGUGAUCCUGGAGAGUCCUGUCCUCCCUGUGAACCAGGGACAAGCUGUGACUCUACGCUGUAGAUACCAGACACCUCCCUCUAACCUCACAGCUGCCUUCUACAAGGAUGGAUCUCUGGUCAGGACUGAGGCUGCAGGAGAGAUGACCAUCCCUGCUGUGUCUACAUCUGAUGUAGGGUUGUACAGGUGCAGCAACUCUGAGCUGGAAGGAUCUCCAGAGAGCUGGCUGGCUGUGAGAGUACGUCUGAUGGUUGAUAUUUCCAUCUUCAAGCCCUCCCUUCCCUUCCUCCCUCCCCCUCUCCCACCUCCCCCUCCCUCCCUGUGCUGGUCUCUCUGCUGCUGGCUGGUCUCUCUGUCUCUCUGGUCUCUCUGCUGGUGGUGCUGCUCCUCUGGAAGAGAUGUGAAGGUGGUGGGGAGGGAGCUGCUCCCAGAGAUGUGACCUACGCUGACGUCAGACUCAGACAGGAUCCAGAACCCAGCAGGAGGAGAGAGAGAGAGAAGCCCCUCCCCCCAGUACCUGAUGUCAUCUACUCCUCAGUGAGACCAGACUGAGCUGCAGACCAUCUUCUUGAGAACAGAAGGUGUACUGAUCAGAGUAAUUUCUAGAUGAGGAACAAUGUGCUGUUUUAGCUGUGGUAGACCGCUCUCUCUAUCCUAGCACUCUGCUUGCAUGCAAACUGCUCUUUACCGCAAGGUGGAGGUUGGAAAAGAUGUACCAAGUUGUUAAUCGAAACUCAACUGUUUGACCACGUCAGUUUGAGGUGUGAAGCGCUGUGUUUCUGCUGGUCAGAACUGUGGGACGGAGCCUCUCUUCUUGUCAACUCACAGACACGCCAGCCAGUAAGAUGACAUCUAACAGCCUUACCGGGGUAUCUAACUACAAGGAUGGACUUUCUAACUGGAACUGUGACCUGAACAGCUUCCAGCUGUAGUGACCCAGACGUGUGUUGUCAUUGUGGCUGUUGUUGUUUACAGACUAGUAAACAUGUCACCGAUGAAGAGGCCUGUUGCUGUUUACAGACUAGUAAACAUGUCACUGAUGAAGAGGCCUGUUGUUGUUUACAGACUAGUA